rnacentral:lncRNA from 1 species
AGAAAGUAACAAAAAUCUGUUGCAUGUACUAUCGACAUGAAUCCCGAGAAGUACAAUCAGCAACAAGCUCAAGAAAAUAGCAAUUGCUAACUAUCCCAAGCAAGUUAUCUUUGGAAAUUACUAGCAUGAAGUUCAUGCCGGAUUAUAUCAGUGAAGUCAUCAAAAAUGAUUAUAUCAGUGAAGUCAUCAAAAAUGAUUAUAUCAGUGAAGUCAUCAAAAAUGAUUAUAUCAGUGAAGUCAUCAAAAAUGAUUAUAUCAGUGAAGUCAACAAAAAUGAUUAUAUCAGUGAAGUCAACAAAAAUCGUAUUCAUGUCACUUUUCAUUGCAUU